GCAAUGGGCUCCAAGAAGGUGAUUUCAUAGUCAUAUACUCCGACGUUAAAUGUGGCAAAUAUUUGAUACGAGGGGUUAAAGUAAGACAGCCGACGGGACAGAAGCAGGAGGCUCCGCCGUCGUCAGCAGCUACCACGAAGAGGCAAAACAAGUCGCAGAGGAACAUAAACAAUAACUCUCCUUCGGCCAGUGUGGUGGUCGCUUCACCAGCUUCUCAAACUGUUAAAUGAAGAAAGCAAAAAAGAAAGAACAUGAAACAAUAUAAAUAUUAUUAUGUAGCAAGUAAUAAAGAGGCAAAAGGAAAAAAUGGCAGCGUACCUGAGUGUGCCACUUCUCGCGCAUGCAUGGGAUCUUCAAGACAAAUGGAGGGUUAUGAUUAAAGCUGUGUUGUCGGGGUCGGGGUUCGGGUUUUUACUCCAUUUUUUUGCUUUUUCUUGUCGAGUCGUUAACUCUUCUCUUCCUUUUUUACCGUCAGGAUAUUGUAAAGAAUGAUUAAAUCUGGAAAUGGUGUUUGUGUUAUAUUUCUGGAGAGAUGAUUAUAGUCUUUUUGUUGUUGUAACUUUUUAUACGUAUGUGGCUCAUUUCUUGAGUUGAGCUUUAUUA